rnacentral:tRNA from 1 species
GUCCUCGUAGCUCAAUUGGGAGAGCAAUCGGCUUUUAACCGAAAGGUUGCAGGUUCAAGUCCUGUCGAGGACA